UGGGGAAUAUUGGACAAUGGGCGCAAGCCUGAUCCAGCCAUGCCGCGUGAGUGAUGACGGCCUUAGGGUUGUAAAGCUCUUUUACCCGGGAAGAUAAUGACUGUACCGGGAGAAUAAGCCCCGGCUAACUUCGUGCCAGCAGCCGCGGUAAUACGAAGGGGGCUAGCGUUGUUCGGAAUCACUGGGCGUAAAGCGCACGUAGGCGGACUUUUAAGUCAGGGGUGAAAUCCCGAGGCUCAACCUCGGAACUGCCUUUGAUACUGGGAGUCUUGAAUUCGAGAGAGGUAAGUGGAAUUGGUAGUGUAGAGGUGAAAUUCGUAGAUAUUACCAGGAACACCAGUGGCGAAGGCGGCUUACUGGCUCGAUAUUGACGCUGAGGUGCGAAAGCGUGGGGAUCAAACAGGAUUAGAUACC
rnacentral:rRNA from 1 species